AGUAUUGUCAUUUCCAAAUAGCAGAUCUGUUUUCACCUCAUGAGUACAGUUCUGAGAUUAUAUAUAAGAGGACCCAGGAGUUAAAUCAGGACUCAGGAAGAGAUAGACCCAUAAUGAUGCUGCCUCAAAACUCGUGGCAUAUUGAUUUUGGAAGAUGCUGCUGUCAUCAGAACCUUUUCUCUGCUGUGGUAACUUGCAUCCUGCUCCUGAAUUCCUGCUUUCUCAUCAGCAGUUUUAAUGGAACAGAUUUGGAGUUGAGGCUGGUCAAUGGAGACGGUCCCUGCUCUGGGACAGUGGAGGUGAAAUUCCAGGGACAGUGGGGAACUGUGUGUGAUGAUGGGUGGAACACUACUGCCUCAACUGUCGUGUGCAAACAGCUUGGAUGUCCAUUUUCUUUCGUCAUGUUUCGUUUUGGACAAGCCGUGACUAGACAUGGAAAAAUUUGGCUUGAUGAUGUUUCCUGUUAUGGAAAUGAGUCAGCUCUCUGGGAAUGUCAACACCGGGAAUGGGGAAGCCAUAACUGUUAUCAUGGAGAAGAUGUUGGUGUGAACUGUUAUGGUAAGAGUCUAACUAGAGUAGGAAGGCAAGGUGAAGCCAAUCUGGGUUUGAGGCUAGUGGAUGGAAACAACUCCUGUUCAGGGAGAGUGGAGGUGAAAUUCCAAGAAAGGUGGGGGACUAUAUGUGAUGAUGGGUGGAACUUGAAUACUGCUGCCGUGGUGUGCAGGCAACUAGGAUGUCCAUCUUCUUUUAUUUCUUCUGGAGUUGUUAAUAGCCCUGCUGUAUUGCGCCCCAUUUGGCUGGAUGACAUUUUAUGCCAGGGGAAUGAGUUGGCACUCUGGAAUUGCAGACAUCGUGGAUGGGGAAAUCAUGACUGCAGUCACAAUGAGGAUGUCACAUUAACUUGUUAUGAUAGUAGUGAUCUUGAACUAAGGCUUGUAGGUGGAACUAACCGCUGUAUGGGGAGAGUAGAGCUGAAAAUCCAAGGAAGGUGGGGGACCGUAUGCCACCAUAAGUGGAACAAUGCUGCAGCCGAUGUCGUAUGCAAGCAGUUGGGAUGUGGAACCGCACUUCACUUCGCUGGCUUGCCUCAUUUGCAGUCAGGGUCUGAUGUUGUAUGGCUUGAUGGUGUCUCCUGCUCCGGUAAUGAAUCUUUUCUUUGGGACUGCAGACAUUCCGGAACCGUCAAUUUUGACUGUCUUCAUCAAAACGAUGUGUCUGUGAUCUGCUCAGAUGGAGCAGAUUUGGAACUGCGACUAGCAGAUGGAAGUAACAAUUGUUCAGGGAGAGUAGAGGUGAGAAUCCAUGAACAGUGGUGGACAAUAUGUGACCAGAACUGGAAGAAUGAACAAGCCCUUGUGGUUUGUAAGCAGCUAGGAUGUCCGUUCAGCGUCUUUGGCAGUCGUCGUGCUAAACCUAGUAAUGAAGCUAGAGACAUUUGGAUAAACAGCAUAUCUUGCACUGGGAAUGAGUCAGCUCUCUGGGACUGCACAUAUGAUGGAAAAGCAAAGCGAACAUGCUUCCGAAGAUCAGAUGCUGGAGUAAUUUGUUCUGAUAAGGCAGAUCUGGACCUAAGGCUUGUCGGGGCUCAUAGCCCCUGUUAUGGGAGAUUGGAAGUGAAAUACCAAGGAGAGUGGGGGACUGUGUGUCAUGACAGAUGGAGCACAAGGAAUGCAGCUGUUGUGUGUAAACAAUUGGGAUGUGGAAAGCCUAUGCAUGUGUUUGGUAUGACCUAUUUUAAAGAAGCAUCAGGACCUAUUUGGCUGGAUGACGUUUCUUGCAUUGGAAAUGAGUCAAAUAUCUGGGACUGUGAACACAGUGGAUGGGGAAAGCAUAAUUGUGUACACAGAGAGGAUGUGAUUGUAACCUGCUCAGGUAAUGCAACAUGGGGCCUGAGGCUGGUGGGCGGCAGCAAUCGCUGCUCGGGAAGACUGGAGGUGUACUUUCAAGGACGGUGGGGCACAGUGUGUGAUGACGGCUGGAACAGUAAAGCUGCAGCUGUGGUGUGUAGCCAGCUGGACUGCCCAUCUUCUAUCAUUGGCAUGGGUCUGGGAAACGCUUCUACAGGAUAUGGAAAAAUUUGGCUCGAUGAUGUUUCCUGUGAUGGAGAUGAGUCAGAUCUCUGGUCAUGCAGGAACAGUGGGUGGGGAAAUAAUGACUGCAGUCACAGUGAAGAUGUUGGAGUGAUCUGUUCUGAUGCAUCGGAUAUGGAGCUGAGGCUUGUGGGUGGAAGCAGCAGGUGUGCUGGAAAAGUUGAGGUGAAAGUCCAGGGUGCCGUGGGAAUUCUGUGUGCUAAUGGCUGGGGAAUGAACAUUGCUGAAGUUGUUUGCAGGCAACUUGAAUGUGGGUCUGCAAUCAGGGUCUCCAGAGAGCCUCAUUUCACAGAAAGAACAUUACACAUCUUAAUGUCGAAUUCUGGCUGCACUGGAGGGGAAGCCUCUCUCUGGGAUUGUAUACGAUGGGAGUGGAAACAGACUGCGUGUCAUUUAAAUAUGGAAGCAAGUUUGAUCUGCUCAGCCCACAGGCAGCCCAGGCUGGUUGGAGCUGAUAUGCCCUGCUCUGGACGUGUUGAAGUGAAACAUGCAGACACAUGGCGCUCUGUCUGUGAUUCUGAUUUCUCUCUUCAUGCUGCCAAUGUGCUGUGCAGAGAAUUAAAUUGUGGAGGUGCCAUAUCUCUUUCUGUGGGAGAUCACUUUGGACAAGGGAAUGGUCUAACUUGGGCCGAAAAGUUCCAGUGUGAAGGGAGUGAAACUCACCUUGCAUUAUGCCCCAUUGUUCAACAUCCGGAAGACACUUGUAUCCACAGCAGAGAAGUUGGAGUUGUCUGUUCCCGAUAUACAGAUGUCCGACUUGUGAAUGGCAAAUCCCAGUGUGACGGGCAAGUGGAGAUCAACGUGCUUGGACACUGGGGCUCACUGUGUGACACCCACUGGGACCCAGAAGAUGCCCGUGUUCUAUGCAGACAGCUCAGCUGUGGGACUGCUCUCUCAACCACAGGAGGAAAAUAUAUUGGAGAAAGAAGUGUUCGUGUGUGGGGACACAGGUUUCAUUGCUUAGGGAAUGAGUCACUUCUGGAUAACUGUCAAAUGACAGUUCUUGGAGCACCUCCCUGUAUCCAUGGAAAUACUGUCUCUGUGAUCUGCACAGGAAGCCUGACCCAGCCACUGUUUCCAUGCCUCGCAAAUGUAUCUGACCCAUAUUUGUCUGCAGUUCCAGAGGGCAGUGCUUUGAUCUGCUUAGAGGACAAACGGCUCCGCCUAGUGGAUGGGGACAGCCGCUGUGCCGGGAGAGUAGAGAUCUAUCACGACGGCUUCUGGGGCACCAUCUGUGAUGACGGCUGGGACCUGAGCGAUGCCCACGUGGUGUGUCGAAAGCUGGGCUGUGGAGUGGCCCUCAAUGCCACGGUCUCUGCUCACUUUGGGGAGGGGUCAGGGCCCAUCUGGCUGGAUGACCUGAACUGCACAGGAACGGAGUCCCACUUGUGGCAGUGCCCUUCCCACGGCUGGGGGCAGCACGACUGCAGGCACAAGGAGGACGCAGGGGUCAUCUGCUCAGAAUUCACAGCCUUGAGGCUCUACAGUGAAACUGAAACAGAGAGCUGUGCUGGGAGAUUGGAAGUCUUCUAUAAUGGGACCUGGGGCAGCGUCGGCAGGAGGAACAUCACCACAGCCAUAGCAGGCAUUGUGUGCAGGCAGUUGGGCUGUGGGGAGAAUGGAGUUGUCAGCCUCGCCCCUUUAUCUAAGACAGGCUCUGGUUUCAUGUGGGUGGAUGACAUUCAGUGUCCUAAAACACAUAUCUCCAUAUGGCAGUGCCUGUCUGCCCCAUGGGAGCGAAGAAUCUCCAGCCCAGCAGAAGAGACCUGGAUCACAUGUGAAGAUAGAAUAAGAGUGCGUGGAGGAGACACCGAGUGCUCUGGGAGAGUGGAGAUCUGGCACGCAGGCUCCUGGGGCACAGUGUGUGAUGACUCCUGGGACCUGGCCGAGGCGGAAGUGGUGUGUCAGCAGCUGGGCUGUGGCUCUGCUCUGGCUGCCCUGAGGGACGCUUCGUUUGGCCAGGGAACUGGAACCAUCUGGUUGGAUGACAUGCGGUGCAAAGGAAAUGAGUCAUUUCUAUGGGACUGUCAUGCCAAACCCUGGGGACAGAGUGACUGUGGACACAAGGAAGAUGCUGGCGUGAGGUGCUCUGGACAGUCGCUGAAAUCACUGAAUGCCUCCUCAGGUCAUUUAGCACUUAUUUUAUCUAGUAUCUUUGGGCUCCUUCUCCUGGUUCUGUUUAUUCUAUUUCUCACGUGGUGCCGAGUUCAGAAACAAAAACAUCUGCCCCUCAGAGUUUCAACCAGAAGGAGGGGUUCUCUCGAGGAGAAUUUAUUCCAUGAGAUGGAGACCUGCCUCAAGAGAGAGGACCCACAUGGGACAAGAACCUCAGAUGACACCCCCAACCAUGGUUGUGAAGAUGCUAGCGACACAUCGCUGUUGGGAGUUCUUCCUGCCUCUGAAGCCACAAAAUGACUUUAGACUUCCAGGGCUCACCAGAAUCUUGAUAUGUGGGUGAUGUUAAGCCCUCCUGACCCAGCAAGUUGAAAACUCACCAAGAAGAGCAGCAGUUAAAGGAACUAGGGAAAUCCUACAGUGUGAUCAGUUUUUCUGCUGCAGACACAUCAAGGAUUUGCAACAAAUGCUGAACACAGGUGCUUACUAUUUAUUAAUAACAGUUUGUGUGAUGACUGCAAAUGCCAGAGGUUACCUCUGAACAAAGCUUGGAUACAAUUACAAAGUGAGGUUUUUCAGAAUAUUUUCAGGUAAGUGGUUUAUGAAUGUGAAGAGUGCAGCAGUUCAAGAAAGCUAAGUUCUAUUUAUAGAUACAUAUAUAUUUAACAUUUCAAUCAGACUGAUCCUAUUUAUUACACAGACAGUCCUUGGUUUAUGGAUGACCACUUACUCCAUUAAACCUAUACCAUUAGAAGCAUGUAGCAGGGGAACAAAUGGAGUUCCUAGAGAAUAUGUGGUUUCAAAGCAGUUUGGAGGGUCUCAACGGAGGAAGGACUGUGUAUCCUGGGAGAUCAAAUCUCAGGAAGGGGCUGAGCAUGGUGGCUUACACCUAUAACCCCAAGACUUUGGGAGGCCAAGGUAGAAGGAUAACUUCAGCCCCGGAGUUUGAAACCAGCCUGGUCAACAUGGUGAGACCCCAUCUCUACAAAGACUUAAAAAGAAACUUAACCAGGGUGCAGUUGUGCACACCUGUAGUACUAGCAACUUGAGAGCCUGAGGCAGGAGGAUCGACUGAGCCCAGCAGUUUGAGAGGUUACAGUGAGCUAUAACUGCACCACGGCACUCCAGCCUGGGUGACAGAGCAAGUCUCCAUCUCAAAAAAACAAAACAAAGCCAAAAGCCAAAAACCUCUCAGGAAGGAUUGAUCUAUGUGAGGUCUUUUUUGCCUCAUAUUGUUUGCUUCUCUUUGAAAUGCUGUUUAAAACCCACCAAUUAGACAA